CAAAACUGCAGGCUUCCCAGCCUAGUUUUGACUUUAUAGCGUCAACUACUUUCUUGUUUAAUUGUCAUCUAAGCUGGAUAACAUGCGAGGCCAAAGAGACGAACGUCUGUGAAAAGAGAGGAAAUUUGCAAGAACCCAUUACUGCACAAGAAGUAAGAUCAAGCUGGGGAAAGAUUUACACUACAGAGGCAUCUAUACUAUGCAUAUCCUACUGAUUAUACUGGCUGCCUCCCUUUCCUAAUUUGAUUUACGACUCGAUAGUUUUUCUACUCUUGGUCAUUCAGGUUUUUACUUACAAAAUGAAGUUCGAGGAUAAAUCAGUGGAAGGCUUUUUAUUUGAUUUCAAACAGAAAUGGCAGUGCAAACCAAAGAUUUAUGAACAGAAAUGAGGACAUGGCUAUCUACAAUAAUCAUUGACCGAUUGAAAGGUUGUCUGUUGAUAUCUGUGUUUGAAUGGUCUGAAGAGUCACAGAUCCAUCUCUAAUCCCUUCUCUCAUUAUCUUCCCCAUCAUUUUUGCUGCCAAUGGAACCCCAGCACACUUCUGUAUGACUUCCCUUUUCAGCUCCUCCUCAUUUCGUGGCUGGAAUGGUUUCCUUUCCUGUUCAACUUCGUCUCUAAAUAUGUCCCAACAGAGGUCUUUGUUUGAAAGAGGCAAAAGGCGAUAUAUGUUCUCAUCCCCAACCAUCAUCUUCAUAACUUCCUC
rnacentral:misc_RNA from 1 species